CGGCUCAGUAACACGUGGACAACCUACCCUUAGGACAGGUAUAAACCCGGGAAACUGGGUAUAAUCCCUGAUAGUCCUCGACUGCUGGAAUGCAUCGAGGCCGAAAGCUCCGGCGCCUAAGGAUGGGUCUGCGGCCUAUCAGGUAGUAGUGGGUCUAAAGUACCUACUAGCCUACGACGGGUACGGGUUGUGAGAGCAAGAGCCCGGAGAUGGAUUCUGAGACACGAAUCCAGGCCCUACGGGGUGCAGCAGGCGCGAAAACUUUACAAUGCCGGCAACGGCGAUAAGGGGACCUCGAGUGCCAGGUUACAAAUCUGGCUGUCGUGAUGCCUAAAAAGCAUUGCAUAGCAAGGGCCGGGCAAGAUCGGUGCCAGCCGCCGCGGUAACACCGGCGGCUCGAGUGGUAACCGUUAUUAUUGGGUCUAAAGGGUCUGUAGCCGGCCGGAUAAGUCUCUUGGGAAAUCCAGCAGCUCAACUGUUGGGCUUCCAGGAGAUACUGUCUGGCUCGAGGCCGGGAGAGGUGAGAGGUACUUCAGGGGUAGGGGUGAAAUCUUGUAAUCCUUGAAGGACCACCAGUGGCGAAGGCGUCUCACCAGAACGGACCUGAC
rnacentral:rRNA from 1 species